AACGAACGCUGGCGGCAGGCUUAACACAUGCAAGUCGAACGCAUCCUUCGGGGUGAGUGGCAGACGGGUGAGUAACGCGUGGGAACGUGCCCUUCAGUUCGGGAUAACCCAGGGAAACUUGGGCUAAUACCGGAUACGUGCGAGAGCAGAAAGCUUUAUCGCUGAAGGAGCGGCCCGCGUCUGAUUAGCUAGUUGGUGGGGUAAUGGCCCACCAAGGCGACGAUCAGUAGCUGGUCUGAGAGGAUGAUCAGCCACAUUGGGACUGAGACACGGCCCAAACUCCUACGGGAGGCAGCAGUGGGGAAUAUUGGACAUGGGCGCAAGCCUGAUCCAGCCAUGCCGCGUGAGUGAUGAAGGCCUUAGGGUUGUAAAGCUCUUUCGUCCGGGACGAUAAUGACGGUACCGGAAGAAGAAGCCCCGGCUAACUUCGUGCCAGCAGCCGCUGUAA
rnacentral:rRNA from 1 species